UCGCUCAGAGAAGAGUCCAUUUCAAACCAACUGGUUGGGGGCAGCCAUGGAAGAUAUGCAUUCACUGUUCUACGUGUGUGAAGGACCAUCGAUUUUCUUUUGGGGAGGCGCGUUGCCAAUCCAGCCGCCCUUUUGGUCUUCAUCUCAUCGGCUGGAUUCAAGUGUUGCCAUUCUAGCUAUGCUUCAUCCUUCUUCUCAUCACACGGGUUUAGCUGAAAGGGAUUUUUGGGUUUCGUAAAAAAGAGCACCAAUGAAGAAAGCAUUUAGAUUUGAUGGGUUUGAUGUCAAUGGUUCUUGGGUAAUCCCUAAUGCUAUAUAAGAGCUGAGGUAUUUAUAUAUUACAACAUAUUGGGUUAUGAGAUAGAAUUUUCAAAUAUUUGAUGACAACGACAAUACAGAGAUAGUUGUUUUGGGAUUUUGAUUGUUUAGGGUGACUUUUGCAUAGGUGGUCUUUUGUUGCUUUGGAUAUAACAGUUUGGUUGGUGUUUUCGGUUUUGUUAAGCAAGGGGGUUUGAGCAUGAGGACAAAGGUGAUUUUGCAACCUCACCGAAGCAUUUCAGAUGUUAAUAGCGUACAAGAGAGUCAAGAAGAGGUUGUGUGUAAAAGGAGGUUCUUUGCAGGCCAAAAAAGGUUGAUUUUUUUUUUCUUUUUCUUCUUUUCAUUCAAAACUUUUUGUUCACUUAUUGUCCUUGAAUAUUAUGCUCAAAGUAGUUAACUUUUCGGUCAAAAUGUUUUAUUUGUGUUUCUUGAUUUGAAUGAAAGCUUGGUAUUUCCUCCCUUUUUUUUUUUUUUUGGGUUUCUUUCAUUUCAUACUGUCUUCAUAUCUUUUGCUCCACUGGUGAUCAGAGACCCUAAACAAACUACCUUACAAAUUUGAUUAAACUUAGAAUUUUCUUUUAAAAUUUGUUCAUAGCCAAUUGCUAUUUUAUCAUUUUUUAAUAAUUUGUACCAAUAGAGUUAAAACCCUUGUAGAAGACAAGAAAGAACAGAACCACUUCUACAAUAGAGCCAGCAAGGGAUAGAUCCCCCGUCAACAGACAUCAAGGCAGAAAAAUCCCCUUCCCCCACCAGUAGCAUAUAUGUAAAGACAAAACUACUGAUAUUUUGUUGCUGCUUGGUUUAUUAAAAUAUUGAUCAUAUUUUAAUAAACAUGACAAGCAACAUAUAAAACAUGUUAUUAGUCAUUAUUUUGUAACUUGCUACAUAUUUUCACAACUUUAUACACAUUUCAGACGGUUUUAAAACCCGCAGCAUCGUGCAGGCACCUUUACUAGUGGUAUCUAUAAAGCAGGAUCCAUUUCCAGCUUUCUCAUAAAGAGUCAAACUUGUUUUAGAAACCUAGAACAGCAUAAAACUAGAUGAGAUAAAUCUGCCUUUAUCAUUAAUAAGAUGAAAAAAAAACGAAAAAAAAGGUUGGCUUUCUAUGAAAUCAAAUAAUUUUGAUUGUGAUCUACCCAAUGUCACGAAAAAUUGAUGGAAACCCUGAAAUGAUUACUAGUAUUAGAAAGAAGGGUUAUCCUCUGUUGGUAUAGAAUUGAUUGAAAUAAUUCAAGAACUGGGUUAUGGUUAUGGAUGGAACUCAAUGUGCAUCCAAUUGUAAUGAUAUGUGUCAGGUGUUUCUUGGGGUUGUGGUAUUAUAGUUCAGCGGCCCACUAUUAGAAAUAUUGAUAUUAUCUUCAACUUAAAUGCCUAUAAAGCUCAAUAGGUGUGAGUUUUAUCACAAAAAGCUUCAAUUCUAUUAAGAGUGGAACCACUUAUUAUAAAUUAUGAUUUAUUUAAUCAAGUUUUCAAUGUGGUAUUUAUAUUCUUCAACACAUAUGUUUCGGCAGUGACCAGAAAUUAUUUAUU